rnacentral:rRNA from 1 species
UACGGAGGGUGCAAGCGUUAUCCGGAUUUACUGGGUUUAAAGGGUGCGUAGGCGGAUAGGUAAGUCAGGGGUGAAAUCUUCGAGCUUAACUCGGAAAUUGCCUUUGAUACUAUCUAUCUUGAAUAUUGUGGAGGUAAGCGGAAUAUGUCAUGUAGCGGUGAAAUGCUUAGAUAUGACAUAGAACACCUAUUGCGAAGGCAGCUUACUACGCAUAUAUUGACGCUGAGGCACGAAAGCGUGGGGAGCGAACAGG